rnacentral:tRNA from 1 species
ACCAGGAUGGCCGAGUGGUUAAGGCAUUGGACUUCAGAUCCAAUGCAUCGAAAUCCAUGUG